AGUGAACGCUGGCGGUAGGCCUAACACAUGCAAGUCGAACGGCAGCACAGCAGUAGCAAUACUGUGGGUGGCGAGUGGCGGACGGGUGAGGAAUACAUCGGAAUCUUACCUUUUCGGUGGGGGAUAACGUAGGGAAACUUACGCUAAUACCGCAUACGACCUUAGGGUGAAAGUAGGGGAUCGCAAGACCUUACGCGGAUAGAUGAGCCGAUGUCGGAUUAGCUAGUUGGCGGGGAAAGCCCACCAAGGCUACGAUCCGUAGCUGGUCUGAGAGGAUGAUCAGCCACACUGGAACUGAGACACGGUCCAGACUCCUACGGGAGGCAACAGUGGGAAUAUUGGACAAUGGCGCAAGCCUGAUCCAGCCAUACCGCGU
rnacentral:rRNA from 1 species